AUUGAACGCUGGCGGCAGGCCUAACACAUGCAAGUCGAGCGAGCGGCGGACGGGUGAGUAAUGUAUGGGGACUGCCCGAUCGAGGGGGAUAACUACUGGAAACGGUAACUAAUACCGCAUACUAUCGGAUAACCCAUAUGGGAUUAGCUAGUUGGUGAGGUAACGGCUCACCUAGGCGACGAUCCCUAGCUGGUCUGAGAGGAGGAUCGGCCAAACUGGGACUGAGACACGCCCCAGACUCCUACGGAGGAAGCAGUGGGGAAUAUUGGAAAAUGGGCGCAAGCCGGAUGCAGCCAUGCCGCGUGUAUGAAGAAGUCCCUAGGGUGGAAAAGUAUUUUCAGUCGGGAGGCGGUACCGACAGAAGAAGCACCGGCUAACUCCGUGCCAGCAGCCGCGGUAAUAC
rnacentral:rRNA from 1 species